UCAUGUGACUCCUGGCCCAGCACUCUCCACUAUGGCACCACCAGCAACCUCUGUAAAUAUUGCAUGGAAGUGUGGAAGAGAGAGAAAUACUGAAGGAAAUACAAGGACUGGAUUUGCAGUGUUAUCUCAUGCAAAAAGGAGAUAGAAUACUGGUGGCCAACAGAGGGUGGUAAUGGAAUCUCCAGCUAAGAAAAGCAGGGGAGCAGUUGGGGAUAGAUCUUUUUUACUUUUGAACUGAUGUAAUGAUAGAUUAACAGAGGGGGCCUCAAAAUGCUAGGAACAGGAAACCGCUGCUCAAGUGGGCUGAUUAAAGUGCAGCCACUGCCUCCUUCCCCACUAAGCUUAAUGGAGUCUAGACCUGACCAAGACUCUGGUCAGAUCCAACUCCAUUUUCUCUAGGAGAGCUCUGCCUGAGAGAAAAAACCGUAACAAAGUUCAUUUGGAAGAACAAAGGAUCAAGGAUAUCCAGGGAAAUAAUGAAAAAAAAUACAAAGGAAGUGGGCCUUGCAGUCCCAGAUCUCAGACUAUAUUAUAAAGCAGCGGUCAUCAAAACAAUUUGGUACUGGCUAAGAGACAGAAAGGAGGAUCAGUGGAAUAAACUCGGGGUAAGUGACCUAAGCAAGACAGUAUGGGACAAAACCAAAGAUCCCAGCUUUUGGGACAAAAAUCCACUAUUUCAUAAAAACUGCUGGGAAAAUUGGAGGACAGUGUGGGAAAGAUCAACACCUCACACCCUACACCAAGAUAAAUUCAAAAUGGGUGAAUGACUUGAACAUAAAAGAAGGAAACUAUAAGAAAAUUAGGCGAACACAGAAUAGUAUACAUGUCAGGCCUAUGGGAAGGAAGAGGCUUUAAAACCAAGCAAGACUUAGAGUCACAAAAUGCAAAAUAAAUAAUCUGGAACCAUCAAAUUAAAAAGUUUUUGUACAAACAAAACCAAUGUAACUAAAAUCAGAAGAGUAGCAACAAAUUGGGAAACAAUCUCCAUAAAAACCUCUGACAAAGAUUUAAUUACUCAAAUUUACAAAGAGCUAUAUCAAUUGUACAAAAAAUCAAGCCAUUCUCCAAUUGAUAAAUGGGCAAGGGACAUGAACAGUCAGUUCUCAGUCAAAGAAAUCAAAACUAUUAAUAAGCACAUGAAAAAUUGUUCUACAUCUCUUAUCAUCAGAGAGAUGCAAAUCAAAAUAACCCUGAGGUAUCACCUCACACCUAGCAGAUUGGCUAACAUGACAGCUAUGGAAAGUAAUGAAAGCUGGAGGGGAUGUGGCAAAGUGGGGACAUUAAUUCAUUGCUGGUGGAGUUGUGAAUUAAUCCAACCAUUCUGGAGAGCAAUUUGGAACGAUGCCCAAAGGGUGAUAAAAGACAGUCUGCCCUUUGAUCCAGCCAUAGCACUACUGGGUCUGUACCCCAUAGAGACAAUAAGUAAAAAGACUUGUUCAAGAAUAUUCAUAGCUGCACUCUUUGUGGUGGCCAAAAAUUGGAAAAUGAGGGGAUGCCCUUCAAUUGGGGAAUGGCUGAACAAAUUGUGGUAUAUGUUGGUGAUGGAAUACUAUUGUGCUAAAAGGAAUAAUAAAGUAGAGGAAUUCCAUGGAGACUGGAACAACCUCCAGGAAGUGAUGCAGAGCAAAAGGAGCAGAAACAGGAAAACAUUAUACACAGAGACUGAUACACUAUGGUACAAUCGAAGGUAAUGGACUUCUCCAUUAGUGUCAAUGCAAUGUCCCUGAACAAUCUGCAGGGAUCCAAAAAACACUAUCCACAAGCAGAGGAUAAACUAUGGGAGUAAAAACACCGAGGAAAAGCAACUGCUUGACUACAGGGGGGAAGGGGAUAGGACUGAGGAGAGACUCUAAAUGAAAACUCUAAUGCAAAUACCAACAACAUGGAAAUGGGUUCGAACCAAGAAUGCAUGUGAUACCCAGUGGCAUCAUGCGUCGGCUACGGGAGAGGUGGUGGGAAGGGGGUGUUGGGGAGGAAAAGAAAAUGAUCUUUGUUUCCAAUGAAUAAUGUUUGGAAAUGACCAAAUAAAAUAAUGUUUAAAGUGGAAAAAAAAUAUCUA